rnacentral:rRNA from 1 species
GACUGAUGAGUUGCGAACGGGUGAGUAACGCGUAGGUAACCUGCCUCAUAGCGGGGGAUAACUAUUGGAAACGAUAGCUAAUACCGCAUAAGAGUAAUUAACACAUGUUAGUUAUUUAAAAGGAGCAAUUGCUUCACUGUGAGAUGGACCUGCGUUGUAUUAGCUAGUUGGUGAGGUAAAGGCUCACCAAGGCGACGAUACAUAGCCGACCUGAGAGGGUGAUCGGCCACACUGGGACUGAGACACGGCCCAGACUCCUACGGGAGGCAGCAGUAGGGAAUCUUCGGCAAUGGACGGAAGUCUGACCGAGCAACGCCGCGUGAGUGAAGAAGGUUUUCGGAUCGUAAAGCUCUCUUGUU